rnacentral:tRNA from 3 species
UGCGGGGUGGAGCAGUCUGGUAGCUCGUUGGGCUCAUAACCCAAAGGUCGUAGGUUCGAAUCCUGCCCCCGCUACCA